CUGUAACAACAUGUUCCAGAAAAUGGAAAAAUAAUUGAACAUGCUGGUAAUUGUUUACACUCAAUGCCACUGCAACUGCUCUGCUCAUUUGACCUCAGUGGGCACCAGGUUUCAUCCUGCGGUAGAUCCACAGAAUGAAUAUUAUUUCAGCAGCUGAAAGCACUCUCCGCAAUUUAUUGUAGGAAAUACUUGUACUUACGCUGUACCUUUCACAACUUCACUCGGUACAUUCUAAUGUGCUUCACAAUCAGCCUCAGAUGUCUUAUGUUGGUUUCUAAAAGCUUCCUAAACCUCAAGUAUCACAGUGAGGCAAUACUUCACUUGUGAGUCUGUUGGGGUCAUCUAUUGCAUCGGGCACUCCAGGUCCUGCCUCCUCUACAUUGGCGAGACCCAACCCAGAUUGGGGGACCGCUUCGUCAAGCACCUCCGCUCCUUCUGCCACAACAGACAGGAUCUCCCAGUUGCCACUCUCUUCAACUCUGCUUCACAUUCCCAUUCAGAUAUGUCUAUACAUGACCUCCGUUACUGCUAUGAUGAGGCCAAACUCAGAUUGGAGGAGCAACACCUCAUAUCCCGUCUGGAUAGUCUCUAGCCCCUUGGUAUGAACAUCGAAUUCUCCAACUGCUAGUAAUUCCCCCCCUCUCCCUUCCACCAUCUCACUUUCACUCUGCCUCCUCUUCUAACUGCCAAUCACCCCUCUCAUGAUUCUGCCUUCUUCUACUACCCAUAGCGCUUUCCCCUUUCAUUCCUUUUUUACCUCUCUGGCCUAUCCCCUCCCUGCGUCCCCUUCUUCCACCCCUUUAUCUUUAUUCCUCUGAUUGGUUUUUCACUUGGCACUUUCCACCCUCUCCCCACCUUCUUUAUAGGGCCCCUGCCCCCUCCUUCUUCAGUCCUGACGAAGGGUCGCAGUCAGCUCAUUUCAACGGAUGUUGCCCGACCUGCUGAGUUCAUCCAGCUUGUUUGUACAUCUUGAUUUGACCACGGCAUCUGCAGUGUACUGUGUGAGAACAAAUUUCACUGCAUAUGCCAGUGAUAUUAAACUUGAAUCUGAUUCAGGAAAGCUGAGCAUUUUUUCUUUCACGCUUGUAAGAAGUGAGGGUGAAAGGGUCUUUCCAAAGACAUAUAUGAUUAUGAACAAUCAAAACAGAAUA